rnacentral:lncRNA from 1 species
GGUCUUUGGCAUUGGUGACCUUUGGAAGGAGUGUUUACAUGGUCAUGCUCUUUGUUGAUGUUGAUGCUAUUGCUUUCUGUUUGUUAAUUUUCUUUCUAACAGUCAGGCCCUUCUUCUGCUGGUCUGCUGGAGUUUUCUGGGGGUCCACUCCAUACCCUGUUUGCAUGGGUAUCACCAGCAGAGGCUGCAGAACAGCAAAGAUUGCUGCCUCCUCCUACUUCUGGAAGCUGUGUCCCAGAGGGGCACCUGCCAGAUGCUAGCCAGAGCUCUCCUGUAUGAAGUGUCUGUCGACCCCUGUUGGGAGAUGUCUCCCCAUCAGGAGGCAUGGGGGUCAGGGACCCACUUGUGGAAGCAGUCUGUCCCUUAGCGGAGCUCCAGUGCUGUGCUAGGAGAUCUGCUGCUCUCUUCAGAGCUGGCAGGUGGGAAUGUUUAAGUCUGCUGAAGCUGCGCUCACAGCUGCCCCUUCCCCCAGGUGCUCUGUCCCCAGGAGAUGGGAGUUUUAUCUAUAAGCCCCUGACUAGGGCUACUGGCUUUCUUUCAGAGAUGCCCUGCCCAGAGAGGAGGAAUCUAGAGAGGCAGUCUGGCUUCAGUGGCUUUGCAGCGCUGCAGUGGGCUCCACUCAGACUGAACUUCCUGGCAGCUUUGUUUACACUGUGAGGGGAAAACUGCCUACUCAAGCCUCAGUAAUGGCAGAUACCUCUCCCCCAACCAAGCUUGAGCAUCCCAGGUCUACUUCAGACUGCUGUGCUGGAAGUAAGAAUUUCAAUCCAGUGGAUCUUAGCUUUCUGGGCUCCAUGGGGGUGGGAUCUACUGAUCAAGACCACUUGGCUCCCUGGUUUCAGCCCCCUUUCCAGGGGAGUGAAUGGUUCUGUCUCUCUGGCAUUCCAGACAACUCUGGGGUACGAAAAAAACUCCUACAGCUAGCUCAGUGUCUGCCCAAAUGGCCACUCAGUUUUGUGCUUGAAAUCCAGGGCCCUUGUGGUGUAGGCACCCAAGGGAUCUCCUUGUCUGUGGAUUGCGAAGACCAUGGGAAAAGCGUAGUAUCUGGACCGGAGUGCACCCCCACUCACGGCAUGGUCCCUCAUGGCUUCCCUUGGCUAGGGGAGGGAGUUCCCCAACCCCUUGCACUUCCCAGGUGAGGCAAUGCCCCACCCUGCUUCUGCUUGCCCUCCGUGGGCUGCACCCACUGUCUAACCAGUCCCAGUGAGAUGAACCGAGUACCUCAGUUGGAAAUGCAGAAAUCACCCACUUUCUGUGUUGGUCUUGCUGGGAGCUGCAGACAGCUGUUCCUAUUCGGCCAUCUUGCCUGGGAAUCUGUAAUUAUAUUUUAUUGCAUAUUCUUCCUAGGCUGGGUGUGUGUGUGUGAAAGAGAGAGAGAAACAGAAACAGAGACAAGGAGACAGAGACAGUGAAACAGAAACAGAGUCAUCUUCCAGGUUCUACUUAUUAAGCAAUAUCCCAUGAAGUAGCUGAAAAGUGUUAUAUUCUCCUAAUACCUAGUGUUUGCAAAUCUGGCAGCUGUCACUGAUGAUUUAAACAAGAUUGGGUGACUUAUUUAUGUACACACACAUCCACAAUCAAACUUCAACAGUCGAGUGUACCCUUUUCUAAAUAAUCACGUUGCUAAAAUGUGCCACAUGGCCCAUUUCUUUAAACAAUAAAUGGUAAAUUAUUAUUUUGGGGAGUGAAAGCUAAAAGAAAUAAUAUGUCUAAUACGAUGUGGCAUUUUCUCUAUACAGUACAGUUUUAGCAUUGAAAAGGACCUCAGCAAUUCCAUUUGCCCCGUUUUCAGAUGAGGAGAUUGAGGCUGGUAGUUACAGUGGUUUUGCUUCAUGUCCCAUCCCACUGGGGCUGCUAUGCAAGCUCUCAGUCUAGUCUUCUUUCCUCUGCACUUGGUGGCCAUCAGCUGUAACAAGUCCUGACUAGACAAGGGCUUUGUUGUUGACUACAAUUCAAUGCCUUUUUUGCCUGCGUUUGUUUGGACCCUGCUAAUCAAGGCUACAGGGCAGCUGCAGAAAGACACCUGCUAUUGGCUUACCUGCUCCUCGCCUUCCCUCUGCUUGGGUCUGAGCAUCAGAAAGCCACCUUCCAGUGGGUCUUUGCCUAGCUUUUGUCUUGUCUUUGCUUUUUAUUCAUCUUUGCUUUUGUCUUCUCAGGGCAAAUAGGAAAUCCUAGACCUCAGAUCACUGUUCUUUGCUUCCCAAAAGACAGAACAGCUCAGUCCUGGCUGCCACCUUCUUUCUUUACUCUUGGUUUAAAUGUAAUCCCACAUGCCCUAGACAAGCCUCCUGAUGAUUUUUCAUCAAACAUGAAAAUAGCUUACUUUUAACUGCUGGGUGUCAGUCUCUUCUAAAAAUUUUGUUCCUAAGGAAUUGAUUUUGCAAAUCAGUGCUAAAGUCACUUUUUAACUGCCUCACAUACUAUCAUUUCUUUGACAAUUCUUUUUAAAGGGGAUUGCUCUUUUCUCCUUCUGGUUUCUCAAAUCUACUUUUAACUUCAAAUAGCAGGCAUGCAAUGUAGUUUUAUAAGAUAAUAUACUAGGACCAUCUAUCAGAUAUGAAACCAAGCAUAAUCAUUGCAAUUAUUUCUACUGUAUUCAGAUAAUGAUAAUACAAAUAAGAGUACGACAUACGUAAAUGUUGAUUAGCUUUCUGGUUCCUUCAUCAAAACUUGCGUUGUGUUGUGCAGCCUUUUCUUUGCAUUGUCCAGGGGUUUUGUUAUUACAAACCAUAAUAUUUAACCCAUUUCUUCUACUAAUAUCUUUUAAUAUUUAUGCUAUUAUAUAGCUUUUUAUUUUUGACAUGUAUCUAAACCAGAAAAAAAUAUUCCUUGUACAUGAUAUUUUUAGGCAAAACAUAAUGUCUGGAGCACCAAGUGAAAUAACUGUGGAGAAUGGAAUGUUGGACAAUUUGUGUGGCAUGCUUAGCUUAAUUUGUUUCUAUGGCACAAGCAAAGCUCAUUAAUUCCAUUUAUUAUUUUAAGCCACUUGUUUGGUGUUAUGGAUUUUAAGAAUCAGUUGGUGUUAGAAUUUUUAAUAACACAGAGAAAGCCAUUGAAUAUGGAACUCAAAUUAUCUAAGGUUUACCCAGAAGUCAAAAUCACCUGGCCCUCUGUAAAUUUCUCUUUGUGUUCCUAGGCCCACAAAGUCUUUGGUCUGAAGACUCAGAGCUUAAAUUGCAUUGGUCCUGUUAAUCUUUGUCAAAAAGGAAGUUUGGGCGGCAGUUUCAGGGUAGUGUUGAGAAGAUAACUCCUGGUCCCAUUUUAUUCUUUCCUCAUUUGUUCAGUGCUCAUGGCCAUCUACAACCUUCCUUGAUUCUAUUCUGCCUAAGCCUCUUAUUUCCACAUCUAUAAGUAUAGUGCUACAUAAUAAUUACAACCUUUAAGAAAAUGGAGAGUUUUCAUUAAAGGGCCCCUGCAAAUCUAUGAUGCUAGAUGACAGAUUCUACCAGAAGGCCAGAGUAUUAAUAGCACCCGUGAUAACUGUAAUAAGAAUAUGUCUCGUUUUCUUUUAAAGACAUAGAUAUUCCAUUUUAAUCCUGUAUAACUCAAAGAAAAUUUGGGUGUUAACACUUUGAAAUACCUUUACCUCCUUUGGGGGAAAUCCAAACUGAAAGGAAUUAAUAUCCACAUCAGUUCCUAAAGCAAAAUGCCUGACACAGACUAACAAAGCUCUUUCUCAUCCUGUGGUAGGAACUUAGGAGUGAUAACUCACAUUGAGAACUUGUGAUCUGAAAGCACUAAGGAAUUUCUGCCAUUGCAGGUAGGAAAAAAAAAGACAAAAAUGGUAUUCUCAGGUGAGCUUACCUUUCAAAUUUUUCUGAGACUUCCUAAAUGUGACAAGAACUCUGCUGUGUGGCAACCUUAUGUAUCCACAACAGAACUAAGGACCG